rnacentral:rRNA from 1 species
GACGAACGCUGGCGGCGUGCUUAACACAUGCCAGUCGAACGCUGAAGCUUGGUGCUUGCACUGGGUGGAUGAGUGGCGAACGGGUGAGUAAUACGUGAGUAACCUGCCCUUGACUCUGGGAUAAGCCUGGGAAACUGGGUCUAAUACUGGAUACGACAUGUCACCGCAUGGUGGUGUGUGGAAAGGGUUUUACUGGUUUUGGAUGGGCUCACGGCCUAUCAGCUUGUUGGUGGGGUAAUGGCUCACCAAGGCGACGACGGGUAGCCGGCCUGAGAAGGUGACCGGCCACACUGGGACUGAGACACGGCCCAGACUCCUACGGGAGGCAGCAGUGGGGAAUAUUGCACAAUGGGCGGAAGCCUGAUGCAGCGACGCCGCGUGAGGGAUGACGGCCUUCGGGUUGUAAACCUCUUUCAGCACGGAAGAAGCGAAAGUGACGGUACGUGCAGAAGAAGCGCCGGCUAACUACGUG